UCUCCUCUUCGUGCGGAUCAUGGAAAUAAAAUCCGAUUUUCAAUCGGUUUAUAAAAUACCAAAAUGCGAGGACAAAAGCUGGAAGCAUGUGGCUAAAAAGGCAGUCCUUUUAAAGGACAA